GGCAAGGUGUCCGAGUGGUUAUGGAGCUGCGUUUAGGCAACUAAACACGAUUUCCGCAGUGGCUUCGCCUCGUGGGUUCGACUCCCACCCUUGUCA